rnacentral:rRNA from 1 species
GACGAACGCUGGCGGCGUGCUUAACACAUGCAAGUCGAACGGUAAGGCCCUUCGGGGUACACGAGUGGCGAACGGGUGAGUAACACGUGGGUGAUCUGCCCUGCACUUCGGGAUAAGCCUGGGAAACUGGGUCUAAUACCGGAUAGGACUCCGGACUGCAUGGUCUGGGGUGGAAAGCUUUUGCGGUGUGGGAUGGGCCCGCGGCCUAUCAGCUUGUUGGGGGGGUGAUGGCCUACCAAGGCGACGACGGGUAGCCGGCCUGAGAGGGUGACCGGCCACACUGGGACUGGGAUACGGGCGAGACUCCGACGGGAGGCAGCAGUGGGGAAUAUUGCACAAUGGGCGCAAGCCUGAUGCAGCGACGCCGCGUGAGGGAUGACGGCCUUCGGGUUGUAAACCUCUUUCAGCAUCGACGAAGCGAAAGUGACGGUAGGUGCAGAAGAAGGACCGGCCAACUACGUGCCAGCCGCCGCCGUAA